GGCUACCUGGCGCAAUGGUAGCGCGUUUGGCUUCGAGCGCCAAACGGCUUACUAAGCUUACUAAGCCGCCUUACGUAAGGCGACCAAAAGGUUGCAGGUUCGAGUCCUGCGGUGGUCA